rnacentral:lncRNA from 1 species
AAUUUUACAGAAAUAUGGAGUUCGAAUUUGGACUGUUGAUCUUAAUGAAAGUUGUAGUUCGUCUCGAUACGAGUUCGUAGGCGCAAACGGUUCGCAAAUCCGAGUUCGGACGAGGAAGAUAUGGCCGAAACAAGAAAGUCGCGCACAGCAGUGAAUAGUGCCCGACGGGAAUUUCCGAAUUUUCGGGAUUUUGCGGGAUUUUCGGAUUUUAUCAGUAUUUUCGAGCUCUACACUGUAUUUAUCUCCUGUGCCUAUAUAUAGGUCCUUUCCCUGACCUAUUAGACACAUCUUUUCACAUCUCUUUACCUCUUUUCAUAUUUUUCAGUUUUAGACUUAGGAUUUUAAUGCUUUCAUAGAUUAGAUUUCUUUUCCUGCAAGAUUCAAGAUUCAAGCUGUUCAUCCAGAAUUUCUUCCGGG